GGGAGUUCCUCACCAUAAAAAUGUCAGUUAGCUGUUCUUUUUAGGUUCUCUUUUUUGUCUCUUUGCUUCACUAGAACUUGAUGCAGGCUCAUUGGGCCUCUGCCUCACUAAAAAUCUAUCCAAUGAUGUUUGUUUUUGCCUGCGUUUUAACACUUGCCUGAAGUUACACACUGCAUU